CUUUUUGUUUUUGGCCUGAAGUCAAGCAAGAAA
rnacentral:rRNA from 1 species